rnacentral:rRNA from 1 species
AGCUCCAGUAGCGUAUAUUAAAGUUGUUGCGGUUAAAAAGCUCGUAGUUGGAUCUCAGAGAGGCGUCUCGCGGUCGGCCUUCGCGGUCUGACUGCUUGCGCCUUUCACCGACCGCCGGUCGCGCAUGCCCUUCGCUGAGCGUGCGUCGGCUGCGGCCACGUUUACUUUGAAAAAAUUAGAGUGUUCAAAGCAGGCGUCUUUUCGCCCGCAUACCCCAGCAUGGAAUAAUGGAAUAGGAGGCUGGUUCUAUUUUGUUGGUUUUCGGAAUCUAGCCUAAUGGUUAAGAGGGACGGCCGGGGGCAUUCGUAUUGCGGCGUUAGAGGUGAAAUUCUUAGAUCGCCGCAAGACGAACAAGUGCGAAAGCAUUUGCCAAGAAUGUUUUCAUUAAUCAAGAACGAAA